CGUGUUUGCAAAUCAGCACCAUUGUCCUGAGGCAGAACAGCAAGAUAGCCCGUGCAACAGACAAGCUGCCACUCCUUGCAGAAGGCCAGAUCCAGUACGUCCCACUCAGCGCUCCUGUGUUUGCCAGAAAAUGGAUCGACCUGCCCUUGCAAACCACGUUCUUCUUCGGAGAACAGGAGAUCCCCAUUCCUCCCAGCCAGGCCCCCUUCGCUCUGCCGGAGCAGGCGGCCGACAGCUCCUCCCACGUCACCAUCGGCCUGUCCCAGGAAUUUUACAACAAUUUCUUCCUAGCCCUACAAACGGCCGGAGCC